rnacentral:rRNA from 1 species
GACGAACGCUGGCGGCGUGCUUAAUACAUGCAAGUCGAACGGAAAGGCCCUGCUUUUGUGGGGUGCUCGAGUGGCGAACGGGUGAGUAACACGUGAGUAACCUGCCCUUGACUUUGGGAUAACUUCAGGAAACUGGGGCUAAUACCGGAUAGGAGCUCCUGCUGCAUGGUGGGGGUUGGAAAGUUUCGGCGGUUGGGGCUGGACUCGCGGCUUAUCAGCUUGUUGGUGGGGUAGUGGCUUACCAAGGGUUUGACGGGUAGGCGGCCUGGGAGGGUGACCGGGCACCAGGGGACUACGAGACGGACCAGACUCGUACGUGAGGCAACAGUGGGAAACAUUGCACAGUGGGCGGGCGCCUGUUGCAGCGGCGUCGGGGUCGGGAUGACGGCCUUUGGGUUGUAAACCGCUUUCGCCUGUGACGAAGCGUGAGUGACGGUAAUGAGUAAAGAAGCACCGGCUAACUACGUG